CCUACGGGAGGCAGCAGUGGGGAAUAUUGCACAAUGGGCGAAAGCCUGAUGCAGCGACGCCGCGUGAGGGAUGACGGCCUUCGGGUUGUAAACCUCUUUCAGCAGGGAAGAAGCGAAAGUGACGGUACCUGCAGAAGAAGCGCCGGCUAACUACGUGCCAGCAGCCGCGGUAAUACGUAGGGCGCAAGCGUUGUCCGGAAUUAUUGGGCGUAAAGAGCUCGUAGGCGGCUUGUCACGUCGGUUGUGAAAGCCCGGGGCUUAACCCCGGGUCUGCAGUCGAUACGGGCAGGCUAGAGUGUGGUAGGGGAGAUCGGAAUUCCUGGUGUAGCGGUGAAAUGCGCAGAUAUCAGGAGGAACACCGGUGGCGAAGGCGGAUCUCUGGGCCAUUACUGACGCUGAGGAGCGAAAGCGUGGGGAGCGAACAGGAUUAGAUACCCUGGUAGUCCACGCCGUAAACGGUGGGAACUAGGUGUUGGCGACAUUCCACGUCGUCGGUGCCGCAGCUAACGCAUAAGUUCCCGCCUGGGGAGUACGGCCGCAAGGCUAAAACNCAAAGGAAUUGACGG
rnacentral:rRNA from 1 species